CGUCCCAGCUUCAAGUGAUUCUCCUGCCUCAGCCUCCCAAGAACGCACUCACUGACUGGCUUGGAAGGAGGAAUGCAAUAUAAGAGGAGAAUCAAUGCACGGAGGUGACCAAGAUUUCUUCCUUCACAACUUUGCCUAGAGCUGGCUGUAUCUGCAGUUUCAGUAUGGUGCCAGAUCAUCCUCUCCCUGGCCCAAGCUUUGAUGCAAUGAUAGCUUCCAGUUCACAUGAAAGCUAAAAUUUGUAUUUAAAGAAUAUACUUUUAGAAGUCUUAGCAUAGAGGAUUGAGGAAAAUGAGAACCAAUUAAUUCCAUCCUUCUUAAAAUUGCUUCUAUGUGUCCAAAUGUUUGAUAAUACUCUGCCUGAGUUUAUUUCACUUGCCAUGGAGUUGUGGACUUGAGCUUUUCAUCUACAUUUCAAGGGUGCCAUGUGAGAACGCUGCAAGAAGGCUCUUACCAGGUGCCAGCAACUUGAUCUUGGACUUUCCGACCUCCAG